UUAAGUUCAGCGGGUAUUCCUACCUGAUCCGAGGUCAACCUUGAGAAAAAUAUUUUCCUGGUUAAAGGAAGAUGGACCGUGACCCGGGCACCCUUAAUCCGGUACGUGCUCAGUUAAGAAGCUCAGUGUACCGGGGGUCCCACGAGGCCGCCGUCAUUGUCUUUAGGAGGGGUCGAUUCUCACGACCAAGCCGUCCAACA
rnacentral:misc_RNA from 1 species